UACGGAGGGAGCUAGCGUUUUUCGGUAUUACUGGGCGUAAAGCGCACGUAGGCGGCUUUGUAAGUUAGAGGUGAAAGCCUGGAGCUCAACUCCAGAACUGCCUUUAAGACUGCAUCGCUUGAAUCCAGGAGAGGUGAGUGGAAUUCCGAGUGUAGAGGUGAAAUUCGUAGAUAUUCGGAAGAACACAAGUGGCGAACGCGGCUCACUGGACUGGUAUUGACGCUGAGGUGCGAAAGCGUGGGGAGCAAACAGG
rnacentral:rRNA from 1 species